rnacentral:misc_RNA from 1 species
CCCACCCCCACCGUCGGUCUGGCCGUCAGUCGCUCCGUGGCCGUUACCGUGGUUGGUGUCCGUUCGUGUCAUUUAACUCGCGCGCUCCACGACGUUCCUCGGGAUUUCUCUCGCGGCGAGAACUCGUACUCGCGAGUGAGAGAUCGAUCCUUUCGCGAUCUCUCGGCGACGGGUUCGCGCGAGCUACGUUAUUUUCGCGCUCGGAACCGAGUGUGUGUGUGUGUGUGCAGUGUGCCAGCGUGUCACAGUGUGUUGCGACGCUCGACGACUACGACGACGACGACGACGACGCCACCGCCACCGCCGCCGUCGCGCCGUCGAGAAGCGGGAAAAGAGAAAGAAGAAGCAGGAGUGUAGUAAAUAGAGUUCGUAGUAAUAGGAUCGUGCUACGUCGGAUACGUGUGCUCUCGAGGGAGGAAUCUUUCGGGUCAGUGUUUUACGACGACGCGGCAGAGGGACGCGACGCGGGUUUUUUCUACCUUACCGACCGAAAAAAAGAAAAAAAAAAGGAUAAGCCGCGCGUCACUCGUAUCGCGCGGAGCACAAAGGAAGGAGCGGGCACGGCCGCCGAGGAGAUCGGGUUGCCUCCUCGCUCGCCUCGUCACGUCGACUCGCGCGCGCGUCGUGCGUGACUCCGAAUGAACGCGACGACCAGCCUCACCUGACCCGGCGGACCCGGGGCGGCGCGAGGAGGAAGAGAGAGGAGAGGAGAGGGAGGGAGGCCGCUACCGAGCAUUGCCCGCGCGCGCGCGCGGGCACGCACGAGUGUACACUUAGGCGACCGAUGAGACGGUAGUGACGGAUGGAUUGGUGGCGACCGCCGAUGGAUUUUCGGCGGGAAAUCGGGCUGUCGCGAGUCACGUCCGCGUACGCGUCGCACCAGCGAAACGUAGCAGCACGUCGUCGAAGCGGCGGCACGACGACGACACGUCAUCACCGAGAGUGCCGAUCGUCGUCUUCUUCGUAGCGGACGACGCGUGAUCCGAACGAGAGAGAGAAAGAGAGAGAGAGAGAGAGAGGGCAGUCCACCUCUCUCUGUUAUCGGUUGUUGUUUGCUGUGCCGUUUGUUGCGUUCUUUUUUUUCUUCUAUUACCGCUGUCGUGUCGGAAUAAGUGUGCCGCGGCUGACAUGACGCAUCUCCUCCACUUUUGAAAAGGCGUUCCGAGAGAGAGAGAGAGAGAAAGAGAAAAUCACCACGUCUCCCGCCAGUCAGCGUGACACGUCGCUGUCGCUCGGAUAUCGUCGCGUGUACCUUUGUCGACGCAUCGAGCGGGAAAUCACGCAGGAGAAAGGAUGUAUCCUAGCGCCGGAAUUAACGCGGCCGCUGUGGCCGCCGCUGCUGCCAGGCAUCCGGGUCCACCGCAGCCCGGGCAGCCAUUCAAAUUUUCGGUCGGCGAGUCCUGCGAUCGUAUCAAGGAGGAGUUCAACUUUUUGCAAGCCCAAUACCACAGUAUUAAGUUGGAGCUGGAGAAACUCGCCCAGGAGAAGACGGAGAUGCAGCGCCACUACGUGAUGUAUUACGAGAUGUCGUACGGGCUUAAUGUGGAGAUGCACAAACAGACGGAAAUAGCGAAGAGGCUGAAUGCCAUUGUCGUACAGAUUCUGCCGUUUCUCUCGCAGGAGCAUCAGCAGCAAGUCGCUUCGGCGCUCGACAGAGCCAAACAAGUGACCAUGACCGAGCUGAACACUAUUAUCGGGCAACAGAGGCCCGAUCUGCCGAGACUUCUGCAGCAAAUGCACGCCCAGCAACUGCCACCGGGUGCAGCGAUGGGACCGCAUCCGGGUAUACCUGGACUUCCUGGAUUGGGCCCAGGCGCGGGUAUACCAGUACCAACCUCGGCAUCCGCGGCGCUUCUCGGUUUAGGCCUUCCUCCGGGAGCGGCUGCCACCCCUGGAGGCACGGCCGGGCAUCCGCUAUCAAUGCUGACGAAACCGGAACUUCAUCGCGGUCAACCCGAUGAUCUCAAACCCAACGGUGGUCUCAAUCCAGCCGAGGAGAGGCAUAGAAACUCGAUAUCACCGGCGGAACGAGAGAAGUACAGGCCGCGUAGCACCCCCGAUUCGCAGCAUGAGCAUAUACUGGCGAAGAAGCUGAAGAAGGAACAGGACAAGGAUAUAGGCCAUCAAAGCGAUGGUGAAAAGAGCGACCAAGACCUGGUGGUUGACGACGCGAGCGAGGGUCCAACCAGCCCAGCGGCGAAUGGUACGGCGUCGCCGCGGGAGAAUGGUCUCGACAAGUUGGGCCCGUCCUCGGUACCUCUGAGCGGUCAGGUGAAGAAGGAGGUACCGCCACCGUCACCUAGAAGCGGCACCAGCAGCAACGCGAGCACACCUUCGGCUAAGAAGAUGGAAGAGCGCGAGAAACCAACGACACCGAUCUCGAAACCUGUUACACCGACGUCGGCAGGUAGCAGUUCCGGUUCUGGUGGCCUGAAACCAUCGAGCUCCAGCAAACCGUUGGUCUCGGCGUCGGUGGUCGGUCCUUAUCCGCCGCACUAUCCGCCACCACAUCAUCCCCCCACGGGACCUCACGUGGACAUGUUAGGCUAUCCCCCCGCGGCGCUCAACGGUGGUUACCCCACGAGACCACCCCUUCAGCAGCUUUACGAUCCUCACGGUAGCAUGAGAGCGCCGCUCGGACCGAUCAUUCCACCCGGUGGUAAACCCAGUGCGUACAGUUUCCACGUGUCUAGCGAAGGUCAGAUGCAGCCGGUGCCGUUCCCGCAGGACGCGCUCAUUGGCCCGGGCAUUCCGCGUCACGCGCGUCAAAUAAACACGCUAACUCACGGUGAGGUAGUCUGUGCCGUGACAAUCUCCAAUCCGACCAAGUAUGUUUACACCGGCGGAAAGGGCUGCGUUAAGGUGUGGGACAUCAGUCAGGGUGGCAGUGCUAGCGCGAAACCCGUCUCUCAGCUCGAUUGUCUGCAACGGGACAACUAUAUCAGAUCGGUGAAACUGUUGCCUGACGGAAGAACUCUGAUUGUGGGCGGCGAGGCGAGUAAUCUUAGCAUCUGGGACCUGGCGAGUCCGACACCGAGAAUCAAAGCCGAACUGACCUCUUCGGCACCAGCGUGUUACGCCCUAGCCAUCUCGCCGGACUCCAAAGUUUGCUUUAGCUGUUGCAGCGACGGCAACAUUGCCGUAUGGGAUUUGCAAAAUCAAACAUUGGUUAGACAAUUCCAAGGUCACACGGAUGGUGCUUCGUGUAUCGACAUCUCUGCCGAUGGCUCAAAACUAUGGACAGGUGGCCUCGACAACACAGUGCGUUCUUGGGACCUUAGGGAAGGCAGGCAACUACAGCAACACGAUUUCACGUCACAAAUAUUCUCUUUGGGAUACUGCCCGACCGGUGAAUGGUUAGCCGUGGGUAUGGAGAACUCUAACGUCGAAGUGCUACACGCAACGAAACCCGACAAGUAUCAAUUACAUCUCCACGAAUCUUGUGUACUGUCGUUACGUUUCGCUUCGUGCGGCAAAUGGUUCGUCUCUACCGGCAAGGACAAUUUACUUAAUGCAUGGCGCACGCCAUAUGGUGCCUCGAUUUUCCAGUCGAAAGAGUCGUCUUCGGUGCUUAGCUGCGAUAUUUCUACGGAUGACAAGUACAUCGUGACCGGAUCCGGUGACAAGAAAGCCACCGUCUACGAAGUGAUGUAUUGAGCCACAUAUUGGCUUCACGAUACACUUCGAUAUACAACAUCUAUUGAAGAUCUACGUGACGUUAAGUGUGAUUGACUUAUGACGGAGGAAUUGAAAACAGAAAAUUAAUUUUUUUUACUCUUUAAAUGUGACUUCAAGCAGUUAUACGGCGAGCUAUCAAGUUUAAUAACAAUUGACAAGACUUGGUCAGUGUACUACGGUCGCUACAUUGGAAACCGAAUUAAAUUCCACAUUUCUGUAAUCACAAAAAAAAACUAAAUUAUAUCCGAGGGAUAGCAUUCAAAUUAUGGGGUUAUAAAUAUAUAUAAAGAUUACAGAAUUUAGCUGUAUAAGAGAUUGUAUAGAGCCUAUAAUCGUAAGUAGGAUGAAGCGAAUGGAAUAGAGAGUGAAAGAGCGAGAGAAACAAGUGCGUGUGAGUACCCUCCGUCUGUAUUUAAUGUGGGAGGCGAUAAUAAGGUCGCUUGUGUAAUAUGUUACUGAUGUAAUAUAGAAUCUUUAUAAUUAGGUCUUUUUGCAUGUGAUCGUGAAAGAAAUGGAGCGAAGAAUCGAGCGCAUUUCGUCGGGCAGGUGAUCGUUCUCUUGCGAUAAUGCUGCAACAACGAAACGAACGCCACGGCGAAAUAUUUGAAUACGUACAGAAUGCUGAUCUAGUGUUGUAGACUUGUCAAAGUAGGGAUGUAUGUUGUGUCGCAGAAUUAUACAUAAUAUAUUGAGCACACAUGUAGGCAGAAUGUUUACGUCAUGUAGCGGAAAACUGUAGGGCUAUGAAGAAAACCGAUAAGUAUCGAUCACGCUAACAUUGUUGAAUGUACGCGACGUUGCGUACGUUCGGUAUCGAAGCCAGCGAUGUGAUCUUUGACAUUUCUACCACCGACAAGAGGAAUAAUUUGUACUUAUUCAUUUUCAGUUUUAAAUACAAUUCUUUUGUAAUUAUAUGGCACUGUUGCGUCUGCCGUUAAGACUUUAUUGUAAUUGAGAUUUUAUAAAACGUGUCGAAGGACGGUGAUAAAACAAAGAAAAAAAAAACAGGAAGAGAGAGCGAAAGAUACUUUUCAAUCUUUUGCAGUAAUUAUGAAACUGGCUUUCAUACGCCUAUUACGAGCGGUAUCGAAUACAAAUAGGAACCCUAUAAGUUACGCGCCGAAUGCGCACCGGAUACUUGAUACAAUUGUACAUUGUUUGCGAGUCUUGACUGCCAUAAUAGGCAUAUACAUACUACGCACACGCAUAUACGCGUAAACAAACACGAGCGAGCGGACCACGUUCGUGGGCGGAUUUUGCAAAAUAUUCGAUAAAGUAUUUUUGUGACUAUUCAUCGUGAGAUCCUAGGCUUAACCAUCGAGCAAAAACCGGUCGUGCGUGAUCGACCACGCGCGCGUCUGCAUCGACGACUGCAGAGACGGGACGAUAAUGUAAAAUGAGGCGAAACACUUGAAUUCUUACACCGCCCCUUCGGUGCAGAUUACAAAACCGGAGGAAGGCACAUACAUACAUACACACAUACAUACACGUUGACAUCCGCUGUGACCGUCCGAAACUCAACGCCACGAUAAUACCUGCCGCGAUAACAACUUUGCAUUGUAACGUGAUCAGCAUUCACGCGCGUGGUUGCGGUGCUACGGCACAACGAACCAGAUGAAUGGAUCCACGAUUUUGGACGAUCACAGCCCCGUUCGUAUAGACCAAUAGAAACAACGAUACCUCAAGAAGACUCAAUAGUUAAUUAUCUCUAACUCAUCGACUUGUACAGAAUCGAUAUUCUUUUACAGUUGAAUAACACACGCACCGUGAAAAAGAAAGCAUUACGCGAGACAAAAGAAAAAGAAUCGCAUAACCGCGACAAUGAUCGUACCCCGCCUCUCCCCCAUCCCGCCCCCCCCUUUCCUUUCCUAUCCGAGACCAUACGUGAUACGUUGAAUUGCGUCUCCGUGCUCGCAUUUUGCACUCCGAAAGCGUACGAAAGCCGCCGUGGGAGAGAAUAUACGUUCGUAAUAAACGGAAGACAGGCAGCGUUAAUCUUUUUCCAAGCACUGUUCAAGUUGUUCCUAUAGCUACGCGAAAAUUGUUUCUUUCGGCAAUUAAAUCCUCUAUAUCUAUA